UGGGUUGUAGCUCAGAGGUAGAGCUCUCACCUAGCAUGUGUGAGGCCCUAAGUUCAAUCCUCAGCACCACAU
rfam:Ictidomys tridecemlineatus contig093608, whole genome shotgun sequence.